AGAAAGAUAAUUAAAAUAAUAAUUUUUAAUUUGCAUUUAAAAUUUGGGGUUCCUCUUUCUA
rnacentral:tRNA from 1 species